rnacentral:rRNA from 1 species
AUUGAACGCUGGCGGCAGGCUUAACACAUGCAAGUCGAGCGGGGUGAUGGUGCUUGCACUAUCACUUAGCGGCGGACGGGUGAGUAAUGCUUAGGAAUCUGCCUAUUAGUGGGGGACAACAUCUCGAAAGGGAUGCUAAUACCGCAUACGUCCUACGGGAGAAAGCAGGGGAUCACUUGUGACCUUGCGCUAAUAGAUGAGCCUAAGUCGGAUUAGCUAGUUGGUGGGGUAAAGGCCUACCAAGGCGACGGUCUGUAGCGGGUCUGAGAGGAUGAUCCGCCACACUGGGACUGAGACACGGCCCAGACUCCUACGGGAGGCAGCAGGGGGGAAUAUUGGACAAUGGGGGGAACCCUGAUCCAGCCAUGCCGCGUGUGUGAAGAAGGCCUUAUGGUUGUAAAGCACUUUAAGCGAGGAGGAGGCUCUUUUGGUUAAUAUCCAAGAUGAGUGGACGUUACUCGCAGAAUAAGCACCGGCUAACUCUGUGCCAGCCGCCGCAGUAA